rnacentral:snRNA from 1 species
CACAAGAAAAGGACAAUACUUUU